rnacentral:rRNA from 1 species
GACGAACGCUGGCGGCGUGCUUAACACAUGCAAGUCGAACGGAAAGGCCCUGCUUUUGUGGGGUGCUCGAGUGGCGAACGUGUGAGUAACACGUGAUUAACCUGCCCUUGACUUUGGGAUAACUUCAGGAAACUGGGGCUAAUACCGGAUAGGAGCUCCUGCUGCAUGGUGGGGGUUGGAAAGUUUCGGCGGUUGGGGAUGGACUCGCGGCUUAUCAGCUUGUUGGUGGGGUAGUGGCUUACCAAGGCUUUGACGGGUAGCCGGCCUGAGAGGGUGACCGGCCACAUUGGGACUGAGAUACGGCCCAGACUCCUACGGGAGGCAGCAGUGGGGAAUAUUGCACAAUGGGCGGAAGCCUGAUGCAGCAACGCCGCGUGCGGGAUGACGGCCUUCGGGUUGUAAACCGCUUUCGCCUGUGACGAAGCGUGAGUGACGGUAAUGGGUAAAGAAGCACCGGCUAACUACGUG